GCCUAAAGCGUCCGUAGCCGGCUCUGUAAGUUUUCGGUUAAAUCUGUACGCUUAACGUACAGGCCGCCGGAAAUACUGCAGAACUAGGGAGUGGGAGAGGUAGACGGUACUCGGGAGGAAGUGGUAAAAUGCUUUGAUCUCUCGAUGACCACCUGUGGCGAAGGCGGUCUACCAGAACACGUCCGACGGUGAGGGAUGAAAGCUGGGGGAGCAAACCGGAUUAGAUACCCGGGUAGUCCCAGCUGUAAACUAUGCAAACUCAGUGAUGCAUUGGCUUGUGGCCAAUGCAGUGUUGCAGGGAAGCCGUUAAGUUUGCCGCCUGGGAAGUACGUACGCAAGUAUGAAACUUAAAGGAAUUGGCGGGGGAGCACCACAAGGGGUGAAGCCUGCGGUUCAAUUGGAGUCAACGCCAGAAAUCUUACCCGGAGAGACAGCAGAAUGAAGGUCAAGCUGAAGACUUUACCAGACAAGCUGAGAGGUGGUGCAUGGCCGCCGCCAGCUCGUGCCGUGAGAUGUCCUGUUAAGUCAGGUAACGAGCGAGAUCCCUGCCUCUAGUUGCUACCACUACUCUCAGGAGUAGUGGGGCGAAUUAGCGGGACCGCCGCAGUUAAUGCGGAGGAAGGAAGGGGCCACGACAGGUCAGUAUGCCCCGAA
rnacentral:rRNA from 1 species